rnacentral:rRNA from 1 species
UGGGAAAUUUGGAAAAGCUUGCUCUUUGCCGACGAGCGGCGGACGGGUGCGUAACACGUAGGAAUCUGCCUGGUAGUGGGGGAUUGCCCGGAGAAAUCCGGAUUAAUACCGCAUACGCCCUACGGGGGAAAGCAGGGGAUCUUCGGACCUUGCGCUAUCAGAUGAGCCUGCGUCGGAUUAGCUGGUUGGUGGGGUAAAGGCCUACCAAGGCGACGAUCCGUAGCUGGUCUGAGAGGAUGAUCAGCCACACUGGGACUGAGACACGGCCCAGACUCCUACGGGAGGCAGCAGUGGGGAAUAUUGCACAAUGGGCGAAAGCCUGAUGCAGCCAUGCCGCGUGUGUGAAGAAGGCCCUAGGGUUGUAAAGCACUUUCAGUGGGGAGGAAAGGUUGAAGGUUAAUACCCUUCAGCUGUGACGUUACCCACAGAAGAAGCACCGGCUAACUCCGUGCCAGCAGCCGCGGUAAUACGGAGGGUGCGAGCGUUAAUCGGAAUUACUGGGCGUAAAGCGUGCGUAGGCGGCUACCUAAGUUGGAUGUGAAAGCCCCGGGCUCAACCUGGGAACUGCGUCCAAAACUGGGUGGCUAGAGUACGGGAGAGGAGUGUGGAAUUUCCCUGUGUAGCGGUGAAAUGCGUAGAUAUAGGGAAGG